AAACGAACUUGGAGAUAGCUGGUUCUCUCCGAAAUAGCUUUAGGGCUAGCCUCGCAAAGAGGAUGCUGGAGGUAGAGCUCUGUUUGGACUAGGGGCCCGUCAAGGGUUACUGAAUUCAGAUAAACUGCGAAUUCCAGACAUUUAUGUGCGGGAGUCAGACUGCGAGUGAUAAGAUCCGUAGUCGAAAGGGAAACAGCCCAGAUCACCAGUUAAGGUCCCAAAAUUCAUGCUAAGUGGAAAAGGAUGUGGAGUUGCGCAGACAACUAGGACGUUGGCUCAGAAGCAGCCAUCAUUCAAAGAGUGCGUAAUAGCUCACUAGUCGAGUGACGCCGCGCCGAAAAUUUACCGGGGCUAAGCAUGAUACCGAAACUGUGGAUGUGCGUUUAUGCACGUGGUAGGAGAGCGUUCUAGCGGCGGUGAAGCAUGACCGAGAGGACAUGUGGAGCUUCUAGAAGUGAGAAUGCCGGUAUGAGUAACGAAAGACAGGUGAGAAUCCUGUCCGCCGCAAGACUAAGGUUUCCUGGGGCAGGCUCGUCCGCCCAGGGUAAGUCGGGACCUAAGGCGAGGCCGAGAGGCGUAGUCGAUGGACAACAGGUUGAAAUUCCUGUACUGCACCGAAUCGUUAUGAGCGAUGGAGGGACGCAGGAGGCUAGCAGCGCGUGGUGCUGGAUACCACGUUCAAGCGUCAAGUCUGAGAGUGAGUCAAAUGCUUGCUCUCAUAAGGACAAGGCGUGAUGAGGAGCGAAAUUAAAGUAGCGAAGGCUGCGACGUCACACUGCCGAGAAAAGCUUCUAGCCAGAGACGGUGCACCCGUACCGCAAACCGACACAGGUAGUCGAGGAGAGUAUCCUCAGGUGAGCGAGAGAACUCUCGUUAAGGAACUCGGCAAAAUGGCCCCGUAACUUCGGGAGAAGGGGCGCUGGUCGCAAGAUCAGCCGCAGUGAAAAGGCCCAAGCAACUGUUUAUCAAAAACACAGGCAUCUGCAAAAUCGUAAGAUGAAGUAUAGGUGCUGACACCUGCCCGGUGCUGGAAGGUUAAGAGGAGAGCUUAGCGCAAGCGAAGGUUUGAAUUGAAGCCCCAGUAAACGGCGGCCGUAACUAUAACGGUCCUAAGGUAGCGAAAUUCCUUGUCGGGUAAGUUCCGACCUGCACGAAAGGUGUAAUGAUUUGGGCACUGUCUCAACGAGAGACUCGGUGAAAUUAUAAUACCCGUGAAGAUGCGGGUUACCCGCGACAGGACGGAAAGACCCCAUGGAGCUUUACUGCAGUUUAAUAUUGGGUAUCUGUCAAGCAUGUACAGGAUAGGUAGGAGCCGGAGAAGAUAGGACGCCAGUCUUAUCAGAGGCGCUGUUGGGAUACUACCCUUGCUUGACGGAUGCUCUAACU
rnacentral:rRNA from 1 species